GAUGAACGCUAGCGGCAGGCCUAACACAUGCAAGUCGAGGGGCAUCGCGGUGCAGCAAUGCACUGGCGGCGACCGGCGUACGGGUGCGUAACGCGUAUGCAACCUGCCCCGCACCGGGGGAUAGCCCGCCGAAAGGCGGAUUAAUACCCCAUGGCCCCGGGGGCCCGCAUGGGCAUCCGGGUAAAGCCUUGGCGGUGCGGGAUGGGCAUGCGUGCCAUUAGCUGGCUGGUGGGGUAACGGCCCACCAGGGCAACGAUGGCUAGGGGGUCUGAGAGGAUGGUCCCCCACACUGGUACUGAGACACGGACCAGACUCCUACGGGAGGCAGCAGUGAGGAAUAUUGGUCAAUGGGCGGAAGCCUGAACCAGCCAUGCCGCGUGCGGGAUGAAGGCCCUACGGGUUGUAAACCGCUUUUCCCCGGGAAGAAUAAGCCCCCCGCGGGGGGUGAUGCCGGUACCGGGGGAAUAAGGAUCGGCUAACUCCGUG
rnacentral:rRNA from 1 species